UGUUUCCCAGGUUGGUCUCGAGCUCCUGGUUUCAAGUGAUCCACCCACCUCAGCCUCCCAAAGUGCUGGGAUUACAGGCAUGAGCCACGGCACCCAGCCUGAGAGCCCAUAACAUUUGGAUCUGCCCAGUCUAGGUAUUUGUACUAAAGACAUUGUUUCCUUGAUAUACCUUUUCCUCCUUUUUCUAUCCUUUUCUGACCUUUGCGUCCCCAUCCACUUGGGCAAAGCACUGUGUAUGCGUGUGCACGUGUGCACACGUGUAUUGUGUGUGCAUGUGGUCUGUGUGCACCUGUGUAAAUUUGUGAGUGCAUGCUUAUGUGUGUGGGUGCACGUGUGUGUAUGUGCCAGAGGGUCUCUGUUUUCAUUGAAAUUGCACACAUUUUCAGGGCCUCACGUUGUUCUAAAUGCUUUUUCUUCCAACUCGAGAAAGUCCAACCGUAUAGCACAAAGCUCUCAGCCCAUUUCCCCAGAACGGCUGAAACUUAUUGCAGUCAUGCUGAAAAUGGCUCUAAACAUAAUUAAGGCGCUUUUUUUUUCAGCACCCUGAACAUUUUUCUCUCUCCAGAUAAUGUCUUGGAAAUGGCCCAGAACCCUAUGGAGUUGUAAAGGCAACAGGAUCUUUGGUAUGGUUACAUUCCAAAGAUGCCUACACGGGUUUAUCACAUCAAGAGGGGAAGAAAUAAAACCUCAUUUCUGCAGCCCCCUCCCUAUCACAAGCUCCUCCAUGGACGGUGUCAUGCAAAGCUGGAAUGAGGCCUGAAGUAACUACAGCAACACAAAUGCCCUCUCUCCAGGCAGGCUCAGGGUCUAUCCUCAUAUUUAUUUGGGGGCAACAUUUUAAAUAACUUUCCCUACAGCAAAAUCAUUCCAGCAUUCCUGGUUUGUUAAAAUACACUUCAUCCCAGGUUACCUUUUACCAAAUGAGAGCCGAUGAAGGGUGUUUCAAAAUGGUCAAUUCAAGUGUAUUUCUGCUGUGGCAGGCCCCUCUCUGGCCGCUAUUGUUGGGGUAAUGGAAGCGUGAGCCUGUAAAUCCAAGAUUAGCCCUGCUUGUGCUCACCUUGACGCAGUCUUUGAGUCUAAUUCUGCUGGGCUGGGAACUGAUAAGAGGAAAAAAGCUUUGCUCACGGGUUUAGUUCCUGACUCUGAAGGACUGGAAAAUGUGACGGAUAUGAAAGUAAAAGUGUCCCUGAAAAUGUCUCAAGGAUGGGGCACAGCCUCGUUGGUAGGGACUGAUGGAGAGGGGUUGAAUGGGCAAGCUCAGGGCCUUGGUGCAGGGCACAGGUGGGGACGGAGAGGUUAGACAUGACCACUGGGAAGAGGAGUCAAGAGGAGAGAGCAAGGGGUGCUCCAUGGCUCACCCAUUUUCUGUAACUACCACCCACAAGGAUUUGAAGUGGCUUCCAGUAAAAUUUGGUUGACAAACCUGCAAAACUAAAGAAGUAAAAACGUUGCUUGUGUGACAAAAGGGGUAGGGGAUCAUUACAUCCAAAAAUCAACCAUAGGGGAAGCUACUAAAAAUAAAAACAAACUUCAGCUCUGAGCUUCCAGAAAUGCUGGGGGGGAAGGGAAGCAUCAAGUGUCACAUAGUUUUUUGCUUAGCAGGACACCGUGGGAGCAAGCAGCAUACCUGAACCCCCGGAGGCUAGCACAGUGCCCAGCACAUAGUACGCUCCUGGAAAGUAUUUGUUGAUUGAAUAAAUGGGCCAAGAAGCCUGCAGAUUGCGCCUACGGGGAGCCUGCCAAAAUUGUCAUUGAUGGCUGGCAAACAAAGCAGUGUUGGGGAAAGCGAAAAAUAAGAGAGUCCUCAAAGGGACUGGCUGCAGAAUUGCAACUAGCACGACUUCUUUCCACUUAAAAACACGUCAUGAAAUAUAACAUAGAAAAAGAAAAGUGCACAAAACAUAUGCGGUCAAUUAUAACCAGCAGGCAGAUUAAAAAGUAGAAUAGAGGCAGUCUCUGACUCACGAUGCCUUGACUUACGAUUUUUUGAUGGUGUGAUCAAUGGGGUUACAAUACUUACAGUGGGGUUACAACACAAUCAAGGAACGUUUGUGUUACCACGAUGGCAAAAGCCCCCAAGACAUCCUUCCCAUCCAGAGCGAUUCAUUGUCUUGUUAUUCAGCCCAAUAAUUUCCUUGCUUUUCUUUGUAUGUUUGCCACCUAUGUAUUUCAAACCUAAAAAUAUGGCUCUGUGUUUUCUGUUUUAGGAUGAAUGGAAUUACACCAAUGUAUUCUUUUUUCCUGAUUCUCUCACUCAGGAUAAUGUUUGUGAGUCUCUCAUGUUUGCACAGCUGCAGUUUGGCCAUUAUUGUUGGAUUGUGUGAAUUACACUUUAUCCACACAUGCUCCUGUCAGUGGACAUUUGGGUUUUAUUCCAGUCUUUGGCAGCCUGCGUGGGCUUUCAGGCCAAAUCUGAGGUACAUACCCAUGAGCUCUCACUUCUGGUUGACAUGUGCUCAAGCUCUUUUGGCCAGCAGGCCAUAGCUGCCCCAUGAAAAACACCUUGGUUGCUGCCCAGCAACUCCAGGGCUCUUGUGAGGCUCUAAGUCCCCACCUGUCCCAGAAAUCUGUGUUCUGGGAACCCAGUGACUGUCCUAUGGCCCCACACCUGCAGCUGUCUUUCUGGCUCAGACACUGAAUUCUCUUUCACUCAAGUUUUACUCUAUUUUCUUGUGUCUGGAUUUCACCUCUGCUGUGUUUUCUAACUCAUGGGCUAAUGCUAUCCAGCCCACCUGACAACAGUGGCUGGGUUGCCUUCCCCUAAAUUUGAAAGGGAAUUCCAAUUGUUGCCCCAGUGCCCGCUAUCCGCCUGGGCUCUCUGAAUCUGAUCAAACAUGUUUAUUGGUUUUGAGGACAUGAACAGUGUCUACUGCAUCUUUACAGCCAACUGAGGAAUGACCAAUCGGCCAGCUUCAAUGAAUCCAAAGUCAAGGGAUACAAAUGUAAAACUCUCCCACUAUUUGAUGCAGCCACUGUCUCUCAAUUAUUUCAUUAAAUGAGUUACAAAUACUGUUUUAUCUCAACCCAAAUUGAAUAAUGAAGGAAAUCAGAUUCAUCAAUUCAAUUAACCAACAUUAUUGUGUACUUAGCAUGGCCCAGACACCCUUGUUGAGUGCUUUGAAUUUAAUAAUAAGACAAAAAAAGACAAAAUGCUGGGGAAAGUGUCGUUUUUAAAGUGCAGCCUGUCCCUGUACUGUAACGGUGGCACUACAGCUCAUAUUUAGAAUGUCCAGUAAGGGCUUUUUGCUUGUGCAAAGGUAUGGCAGAGAGUGGUGGGGGGCGGCGAUCAUAACAGAGGGUGGGGAGCACCCUUAGCAGGAGAGUGGCCGUCUGCAUCACCAGGGGAGGGAGGGCUUAUAGGGCAGACUUGUUUGGCUGGAGCAGAUCUGCCAGCCAGAAUUAAGAAGACUGAUGGCCAAAGGAAGACCCCGGACAGAGAGAAGGUGGGAGGACGUGGGGAGUGGCUUUUCUGAAGCUUUCUCUUUCUAAGUUGUUAUUCACCCCAUGUUACCCUCAACCUUUCGUAAAACUUUGUUGGACAGUGUGGUUUACUGUUGGUGGGGCUGGGUAGCAACAAAGAUUGUGCCUGAUGGGGACAAGGGACAGGGCAGCCCCACUGGUGCGAACUCGCCCAGAGCAGCUGUGGGAGGAGGAGGGAAGGGGCCUGUGAGAGAGGAAGAGCAAUGGGGCCCUGCCUUUCUCCGUCACACCAGCAAGGGCUUGGGUCAGGGGAGUUGACGUUCCCGAAGCGGUUAACCCAGGAGUGCGGAGAGCUUGGGACCUCUGGGUUAAACAUAAUGAACAUGGUGGAGUCCCUGCUCUCAAGGCAUUCCGAUCCAGAUAGAGGAACCAGUCUGCGCACUGAUGUGUAAAGCACCAUGUUGAGCUCCUGGAGGAAGAGGAAGUUGCACCUGGGGAAGGCUUCCUGGAGGAGGCAGUCUAGAGGCCUUGAAGAACAAGACAUCUGGAGGCCAGGCCGUGUGCAGGUCGUUGUGACGGGUGGCACCUAGGGCGUAUGGGAACAGCAGCAGUGGGAGACAGGGAAAACCUGCUACCACACGUGAGCAGCCCUGGAGAGGGCUGCAUGCCACCGAAGCCUCCAGCCAGCAGCAAUAAGCUAAGACUUGCAACAGCAAUGUGAGUGAGCGUGGAAGCCGACUCUUCCACCCCAGAUGAGUCUUGCGAUGACUGAUGACUGCAGGCCUGGCCACCAGCUUGACUGCACCCUCCUGAGAAGCCAUGAGCCAAAGCUAUCCAGCCAAGCCACUCGCAGACCCCCCACCCUUAGACGCUAUGAAAGAUAAUAAAUGUUUCUC
rnacentral:lncRNA from 1 species